GCAAGCGUUAUCCGGAUUUAUUUGGGCGUAAAGCGUCCGCAGGUGGUUUUUUCAAGUCUGCUGUUAAAGCGCAGUGCUUAACUCUGUAACGGCGGUGGAAACUGAGAGACUAGAGUAUGGUAGGGGUUGCGGGGAUUCCCAGUGUAGCGGUGAAAUGCGUAGAUAUUGGGAAGAACACCAGCGGCGAAAGCGCGCAACUGGGCCAUUACUGACACUCAUGGACGAAAGCUAGGGGUACGAAAGGGAUUAGAUACCCCUGUAGUCCUAGCUGUAAACGAUGGGUACUAGGUGUUGACCGUAUCGACCCCGGUCAGUGCCGUAGCUAACGCGUUAAGUACCCCGCCUGGGGAGUAUGCACGCAAGUGUGAAACUCAAAGGAAUUGACGGGGGCCCGCACAAGC
rnacentral:rRNA from 1 species